AUUGAACGCUGGCGGCAGGCCUAACACAUGCAAGUCGAGCGGAUGAGUGGAGCUUGCUCCAUGAUUCAGCGGCGGACGGGUGAGUAAUGCCUAGGAAUCUGCCUGGUAGUGGGGGACAACGUUUCGAAAGGAACGCUAAUACCGCAUACGUCCUACGGGAGAAAGCAGGGGACCUUCGGGCCUUGCGCUAUCAGAUGAGCCUAGGUCGGAUUAGCUAGUAGGUGAGGUAAUGGCUCACCUAGGCGACGAUCCGUAACUGGGUCUGAGAGGAUGAUCAGUCACACUGGAACUGAGACACGGUCCAGACUCCUACGGGAGGCAGCAGUGGGGAAUAUUGGACAAUGGGCGAAAGCCUGAUCCAGCCAUGCCGCGUGUGUGAAGAAGGUCUUCGGAUUGUAAAGCACUUUAAGUUGGGAGGAAGGGCAGUAAGUUAAUACCUUGCUGUUUUGACGUUACCAACAGAAUAAGCACCGGCUAACUUCGUG
rnacentral:rRNA from 1 species